AGCUCAACGAGCUCGGUUUCUUCUUAUUUAUACCCACCCAUGCUAUUUUCAACUUCAUGCAGUAUAUUCAGCAUCUCGAGGAGUUAAAAAAAUUCUCAAAGUCAUUAUAAAUUUGACAUUUCACUACACAUUUGAGAUCUUCCGCACCGGCGACUCACGCUCACUCUGCCUCAGCUCACGCACGAAGGAAUGAAUGAAGAAACGAAGGAAACAGGUGAGUUUUUAUAAAAAUUCAGUGGGUCUCAUUUUUUUUUAUUUCUUCUUUCCUCUCUCUCCCUUUUUUUUAUUAUUAUUAUAUAUACGUAAUGAUUGCAGCACGCGGGGGACGCCGAAAGUGCUUCUCUUCUUCUUCUUCUUCUUCUUCUUUUUUUUCCUUACCUUUUCUUCUUUUCUCUUUUUUUUAAUAAUAAUAAUAAUAAUAAUUUAAUAAUAUUUUUUAAUUAAUUAAUUAAUAAUUUUUUUAAAAAAAUUUAAUUUAGAAUUAUAUCCUAAGUUAGAUUUAAUAAUUAUUUUCUACUAAUUUGCUUACCUCUAAAUAUUUUUCAAAAUUUCUAUUAAUCCAAAUUAACUAUUAAAAUUUAAAUUGGGAUGUUACACAAGAAGAAAAUGAAACUUCAAAUCAAGUUGAGGAUUCAUCACAAAAUUAAAAUCAAAGGAUGAAUGAAGAGAUCAAAGAAUUUUUUAAAUUGGUGCAAGAUGGACAAGAUCAAUUAUAUGAUGGGUGUGAGAAAAAUUCAAAAUUAUUAUUUUUAAUUAGAUUGUACCAUAUUAAAUGCUUGUGUGGUGUAAAACAAAGCUUUAUCUAUGAUUCUAGAAUUAUUAGCAUAUGCCUUUCCAUUUGCUAAAAUUUUUUCUUCAUUUUAUGAAGAAAAAAGGACUAUUAUCAAGUUAGGAUUGGAAUAUAAAAAAAUUGAUGUUUGCCCAAAUGAUUGUAUGUUAUAUUGGGGAAAACUUGCAAAACACAUAAUACAUCAAGAUGAAAAUUGAUAUCCAAAAAGUAAAAAACAAGUGAAAAAACCUACAAAAAUUUUGAGAUACUUCCAUUAAAGCCACGAUUGCAAUGACUGUUUGUGUCAUCUAAAACUACAAAGCAUAUGAGGUGGCGUGCUAAUGAAAAUAAUGUUGAUGGUUUGAUGAGACAUCUAAGGGAUUCUAAAGCAUGGAAAAUUUUUGAUAUGACUUAUCCAAAUUUUGCUUUAGAACCUAAAACGUGCAAUUGGCAUUAGCUACUGAUGGUUUCAAUCCUUUUAAAACUUUGAGUAGUACUUAUAGUAUUUGGCUAGUGGCUCUUAUGCUUUAUAAUCUCCCCACAUGGAUGUGUAUGAAACAGGAUUCAUUCAUACUUUCAAUGAUAACUCCCAAACAAAAAGCUCUACAAAAUGACAUUAAUGUGUAUUUGCAGCCCUUAAUUCAAGAACUUUUAGAUUUGUGGAAUGUUAGAGUGGAAACAUAUGAUUCUUAUUCCAAUAAAAUGUUAGAAUGUGUGUAGCACUACUUGUGACAAUUAGUGAUUUUCCUGGCUUUGGGACAUUGUUUGGAUGGAAUGUUCAUACAAGAUUAGCAUGUCUGACUUGUAAUUUUGAUUGCUCGUCAUUUUGACUAUCUAAUAUUCAAAAAUGGUGUUUAUAAGUCAUCGACACUUUUUAGAUGGUACACACAGAUUUAGGUUAGCUCAUGCUUGAUUUUAUGGAAAAUCAAAGUUGAAAAUGCCACUUGAGGUUCGGUCAUGGUGAGGAAUUUUGAGCCAAGUUGAAUUGCUAAUAUGAUUUUUAGCAUGGGCAAUGGUGAAAGAUCUUAAAAAGGGGCUCAAAAUUCAAGUGGUAAGGAUUCUCAACAGUGGCGUAAGAGAAGUAUAUUUUUUAAUUUACCUUAUUGAUCAAAUAACAUGCUUCGCUAUUGUCUAGAUGUGAUGCAUAUUGAAAAGAAUGUUUGUGAUAAUGUCCUUUUUAUAUCAUUGAAUGAAUCUGAUAAAUCAAAAGAUCAUUUACAAUCAUGAAAAGAUUUGAAAGAAAUGGGCAUUCAACCAAAAUUGCAGCUAGAUGAUAAUGGUAAAUUUCAUCCAAUCAAGUUUACAUUGAGCAAGUCUAAUAAAGAUGUUUUUCUUAAAACAUUAAAAAAUAUCAAUAUACCAAAUGGAUAUUCAAGUAACAUUUCUAGAUGCAUUAAUUUGAGACAAUAGAAGAUUGGGGGCUACAAAGUCAUGAUUCUUAUGUUUUGAUGCAGUAAUUGCUUCCAUUAGCAAUUAAAAAUACUCUUCAAAAAGAAGUAUCAAUUGUGCUUAUUGAUUUGUGUUUUAUUUUUAAAAAAUUGUGUGAAAAGGUUGUGAAUGUGGGUGAUCUUGACGAGCUUCAAAGCCGAGUUGUCAUCACUCUAUUUAAAUUUUUGAAAUUUGUAAUAUUUAAAUAACUCAAAAACUUUAUGAAAUAUUUAAAUUUCCAAAAAUUUUUUAUUAAAAUAAGCCAGUAGCUAUGUUUUUUUUAAACGUGGCUUUAAUAUAGUAAUAUUUAGCUUUUAAAUUAUUGAAAAGCUUUUUAAAAUAUUUAAAUUACUAAAAAAAUUUAUCAAAUUUUUUUAAAUAUAACCCAAUAGCCACAUUUUUUACACCAUGUGGCUUUGAGCCUACAGAACUCUGACAAUCUAAUAACUAAACAAGAGGCACGGUUUUUAUAGAAUGUUUUAAGCCAUAUUUUGUUUUACCAUGGCUAUAUUCUUCGCACGAUUGAUAUAGCCACGCUUUCCUACAAUUGUUGGAAGAAAGCUUUGCUACGUUUUAAAAACAUGGCUACUGAACAAGUAAAACUGUGCCAACAUAUUAGUUUUGUUGUAGUGACAUAAUAAUUCCUUAGGCAUAUCAAGUAUAUAACUUCAUUGUAAAUCAACAGAAUAUCAUAAACUAUAAUAUGAAAGUAUUUAUAUUUGGUGCUUUGGAACCUUA